CCUACGGGAGGCAGCAGUGGGGAAUAUUGGACAAUGGGCGAAAGCCUGAUCCAGCCAUGCCGCGUGUGUGAAGAAGGCCUUCGGGUUGUAAAGCACUUUCAGUGGGGAAGAAAGCCUUGGGGCUAAUACCCUCGAGGAAGGACAUCACCCACAGAAGAAGCACCGGCUAACUCCGUGCCAGCAGCCGCGGUAAUACGGAGGGUGCGAGCGUUAAUCGGAAUUACUGGGCGUAAAGCGCGCGUAGGCGGUCUGAUAAGCCGGUUGUGAAAGCCCCGGGCUCAACCUGGGAACGGCAUCCGGAACUGUCAGGCUAGAGUGCAGGAGAGGAAGGUAGAAUUCCCGGUGUAGCGGUGAAAUGCGUAGAGAUCGGGAGGAAUACCAGAGGCGAAGGCGGCCUUCUGGACUGACACUGACGCUGAGGUGCGAAAGCGUGGGUAGCAAACAGGAUUAGAUACCCUAGUAGUC
rnacentral:rRNA from 1 species